GUGGGGAAUAUUGGGCAAUGGGCGAAAGCCUGACCCAGCAACGCCGCGUGAAGGAAGAAGGUUUUCGGAUCGUAAACUUCUAUCCUUGGUGAAGAUAAUGACGGUAGCCAAGAAGGAAGCCCCGGCUAACUACGUGCCAGCAGCCGCGGUAAUACGUAGGGGGCAAGCGUUGUCCGGAAUGAUUGGGCGUAAAGGGCGCGUAGGCGGCCCGGUAAGUCUGAAGUGAAAGUCCUGCUUUUAAGGUGGGAAUUGCUUUGGAUACUGUCGGGCUUGAGUGCAGGAGAGGUAAGCGGAAUUCCCGGUGUAGCGGUGAAAUGCGUAGAGAUCGGGAGGAACACAAGUGGCGAAGGCGGCUUACUGGACUGUAACUGACGCUGAGGCGCGAAAGUGUGGGGAGCAAACAGGAUUAGAUACCCUGGUAGUCC
rnacentral:rRNA from 1 species